AUGUGUGAGAGCUUUAAUAAGUGGAUUGUGGAAGCUAGAUUCUUUGCUGUUAUUACUAUGCAAGAGACCAUUAGAAGGAAAAUCAUGGUAAGGAUACAAGAGAACAAUGACAAGUGGCCAAAGUGGAGUGGUACUAUCUGUCCAAACAUUAUGAAAAAACUUGAAAAGAUGAUCAAUGAGUCAGCUCAUUGCACUGCCAUAUCUAAUGGCAACAACUGCUUUGAAGUGACACAAAGAGUGCAGUAUAGAUUCAAAGUUGAUUUGACCAACUGGAUAUGUAGCUGUAGGUAUUGGCAGCUCUCUGGUUUACCAUGUGCACAUGCUGUGUGUGCUAUACACAUGGUCACAAAUGACAUUUCUGGCUAUGUUGCUAGCUGCUUUUCAGUGGAGAAUUUCAAGGCAACAUACUCACACUUCCUCCAGCCAGUAGAUGGUAUGGCAACUUGGCCUGAAUCCAACAGACCUAGGCCAGCAGCUCCAGGAUAUGUAAAAAUGCCAGGAAGGCCAAGAACUGAGAGGAAGAAAGGGAAGGGAGAGAAACCCACUGCACCUAAGCACAGGAUGGGUAAAGUUGGCACAAUCAGUAGAUGCUCUGUUUGCAAAUGCACAGGUCACAACAAAACAAAGUGUACUGCUCCUAAACCAUCUGCUAGCAGUGCCCCAACUGCUAGGAAUUCUAGUGCAAAGCCAACUACAAAGGGCAGUUCUAGGCCAGCUACAAAGGCUAGUCCUGUGCAACCCUCACAGGAAAGCACAAAUGUGAGUAGCAAGAGAAAAGCUCCAUCAGACAUUCCAUCUACUUCAAGAAGGCCACCUUCAAAUGUUAGCAGAUUCAAGCCUUUCAAACCACCUCAGAGCAAGGUCACUGCUACCUCAAAGGCCACUGUGAAGAAUGUUCAUGUCAAUGUUAGCAGCAGCUCUGGAGUUACUAUGAAUUUCAGUUCUGGAGCUGCUAACACCAACUUCACUGGAGCAAAUAAAAGAGCAAAAAAAGUGCCCAACAAGCUGCUUGAGUGA
rnacentral:rRNA from 1 species